rnacentral:tRNA from 1 species
GUGGGUAUAGGUCAGUGGUAGAGUGUGUGCUUAGCAUGCGUGAGGUCCUGGGUUCAAUCCCCAGCACCUCCA